CAACCCCGGGUGCUGCCAACACACUCGAAUCACUCUUUCUGUUCAUUUUUUUGCAGAUUUUACGAGGCAUCACCACGGGGCCCCGCAAACCACCUCCCUCCCAGACAGCAGCUACGUGUGUGCUGCCUCUACAAGUUCCUCGUGGGACAGGAGCUGGUGAAGAUCUCCAGCUGGGUGACUUCUGAGAUGGAAUUACGUCUUUGUGUGAGGUGGAAUCAUGGCUUUAUGGAAGAGCAGCUCACAGUGCCACACACGAGUGGGGGUUCACACUGUCUGCUUUAGCGGGAGGAAGCCCUGAGCUUCCAUCGGUUCCAGCAGCUGCUUCAUCAGGCUUGAAGCCUCAUCUCCGUCGCUGCCGUUGAAAUCUGAGGGAUCUUGGCUCUUCUGCACAUCCCACCUGGCAUUUGGGAGUGGGAUAUUCCUGUUGCUGGCAGUGUGCACGGCACCCAGGGCGUGCUGCAGCCACAUCAGGCGCUUCAGCCCUUGGACCUCCCUCCCUUUGUCGUGCAUGAGCUGGUGCUCGGUCACUGCCCUCCUGCUGCAAGGGAAGGAACACAGAGUCAGGGCACGGAGACACUGAUGUGCAUCCAUGGACCCCAGAUGCUCCGUGCACCGAGGAAGAAGCACUGGAGGUGCAGCAGCCUGUCAGGAAGCCUAAAGAUUCCUGCAGAUGGGAAGCUGAAAUGCUGUGCUAUUCACAAAGGUGUACCUUGAAUCUCCUCUUUUUUUAAGAAAGGUAAUCUGGGGAGAUUGGCAAUUUGGUCUUUCCCAAAUUUAGAUUAUUUUCAGAGAUUUCAAUAUUAGAAUAAAGUUCCCUUUCCAUCA